CCUACGGGAGACAGCAGUGAGGAAUAUUGGUCAAUGGGCUUACGCCUGAACCAGCCAAGUCGCGUGAGGGAAGACUGCCCUAUGGGUUGUAAACCUCUUUUGUCAGGGAGCAAUUGGCGCUACGUGUAGCGCUAUCGAGAGUACCUGAAGAAAAAGCAUCGGCAAACUCCUUGCCAGCAGCCGCGGUAUUACGGAGGAUGCGAGCGUUAUCGGGAUUUAUUGGGUUAAAGGGGUGCGUAGGAGGAAUGCCAAGUCAGCGGUAAAAUCGCGGGGCUUAACCUCGUUCCGCCUUUGAAACUGGCUUUCUUGAGUGGGCGAGAGGUAUGCGGAAUGCGUGGUGUAGCGGUGAAAUGCAUAGAUAUCACGCAGAACUCCGAUUGCGAAGGCAGCAUACCGGCGCCCAACUGACGCUGAAGCACGAAAGCGUGGGUAUCGAACAGGAUUAGAUACCCUUGUAGUC
rnacentral:rRNA from 1 species